CGCCUUCGGUUUGGUCACCAUCUCCCUGCCCCGGGCUCGCUUCAUUCACUGUCCGAAAGGGUCUCGUACUGGGAGCAGAGCAGGGGCUUGGGCUCCUCGUCCCACGCGUGGUGCUGCCCGCCAGGCGUUCCCUGUGGCAGCGGCACAGCCGGGGCCGCCGUCACCACCCCGCUGGGGAGCCGCAUGGUGAGCGGGUUGUAGGGGAACGGCGUCGAGCCUGCGGAUGACGGCCGGUCCUCCCAGACACGGUUGGUGAGGGGCGUCCUCCGGUUGCAGUCCCCCUCUGAGUGCACUGAAGAGACGGACGGCGGCCGCUCACCAGAGGACAGGCCGGGCGCCGGCGACUUGGCCUUGCGGCUGUUGGGUCUGGCGGCGAUCUUUGGCUUCCCCCCUCCUGCUGGCAAGGAGCGCACGUCCUCGUUUCGUCCAUCAGCAGGAGUUAUGGGCAUAGCAGCGGGCAGGCUUGCACUGGCAUUCAGAGAGUUAAAAGCAUUGGCACUGAGAGGUGAGCGCUCUUCCCACUGCUCGUCAUAUUUACCCAUUAGGGCUUUCCUAAUUAUUGCCUCCAACCCCAUGUUGGUACUGGAAUUCUCUUGGACCGACUGGCUCCUACAACUGAUUAGCCCUGCUCCAGUAAUCGCUGGCAUAUUGAAAAUCUCUGUCCCAGGCUGCCCAACAUUGUACUCUGUCUCAUUUUUGUUGGUCGUGCUGAGCUUCUUGAUGAU
rnacentral:lncRNA from 1 species